AGCGCCGCAACUCCCGCCGGCGGCGCCAGGACGGAGGCGGCGAGGCCGGGCUGGCGGCUCCGGGCGCUCGGGGCAGGCCGGCCCCGGCACGGUGCCGCGCAGAGGAGUCCGCCGGCCUCGGCCGGCGGGGAAAGACGGACACCGGGGCCGGGUAGCCCCCGUCUGCCCCCUCUUCCUAUCUCCCCCGCGGUGGGGCGGCAGCGGCCGGGCCCGGCUCCCCCGGCGGGGCCUAGUCAAGGUUGUUUGUACAAGCACAAGCUGUAAUGAGCUGAAGCGGAAAUGAACUGGAGCUGGAACCACAGACCAACUGGAGCUGAAAUGAAGCCAGAGAUGAUGAAACCCAAGUGGAACCUAAAACUUGCUGGAAGCAAGAACAAGCUGGAGGUGGACCUGAAACAAGCCAGGGGCAGAAACAAAUGAGCUGGAGCCACAGAUGAACUGGAGCCGCAAACAAACUGGAGCCAUCCGUGAGCUGGACCUGAAAUGAACUGGAGCUGAAAUGAGCCAGAGCUGUCCAUGAGCUGGAGCCACAAAUGAACUGGAGCUGUCCGCAAGCUGGGGCAGAAACAAACAAAACAGGGGCAGAAGCAACUGACCUGAAGCCACAACCAAGCUGGAGCCACGAACUCCCUGCAGUGUAUCCGGGUUGGAUCAGAAUUACAAAGAUUGGUGGUUAAACGCUGAUGCUUGACCUGCUAGUCGCUGCCAUAAGCGCUCUAUUACUGAAAGGCUGUGGCUUUAAACAAUAGGUUACCUCCCUCCCAGAAGCACUGAUUUACCAGGGGACACAUCACUGGGCAACAGAGGCCCCCCCCCGAAGCAUGUAUUUGGAAAAAAUCCAUCACAGCAUCUGGAUUCCCCUGAAAAGGUAUUCCCAUUGGAAGAUCUGAAACAGCCAACUGCACAGGAUGUAACCACUGUUGGAUGAUAGCAUUAUCCUUUCUGCAGAGCUCCCCACGUCCUGCCAACAGCUGCCCAGGCAGACAGAGUUCAGGCUGUGCCUGCCCAGCAGGUUCACCAGCAGAGCCGGUGUUUUCUAAUGACAUAGUUGAGGAACAUUCAGGCCAGUAGAAACAUUUAUUCUUCUUACUGGAACUGAGACCAGUAAUUUGUUACUGAGCUGAAUUCAGACUGGUUACCUACAUUUUCACAGAUCUUGAAAUGAGCUCCUGAAGCAUGGGCCUCCAGCAAAAGUAUGAGUGGGAAACAUGGUGAAGUACUAGACUGGGACUCUGGAGGGCAAUGCUCAGUUCCCAGCUCUCCCGUAGAUUCCUCUGAUCUCAGAGAAGUCUCUCAGCUCCAACUAUGACCACUCCAUACCUCCCAAAGAAAAAUACUGUUUUCAGCCCUCUGCCUUUUUUCACUUCCUUAGCUGUAGCUGUUUCUAAAGGCUUAUAUCUUCUUACAACAGGAUUUUACAGCAUCAGAUGCAUGGAGGUUUGCAGGUACUGAUGGAAAGUAAAUAAUAACAUAUGCUGCCUUCAUGUACAGCCUUUGUGGUAGUGGACUCUGCCACAAGGGGGAUCACUGAUCACCCUGCAAUAACAUUGCAUACGUUGACAUAGUAUCACAUGUCUAAUAAGUUAUUUAGAAGUGAUUUUCUUAAAUGACAUCUUCUCAGUGUGUUCUCUUCAGCCGCAAAAAAACCCCACAUACAUGUUUUUAAAGAGGGCAUGCACAGAUGUUUUAACCACACCUACCAACAAGCUUGGACUACAGGUCUGCUUUGCUGUUGAAUGUUUUCCAGAGAACUCUGUGCUCUGAAGAGCACAUCACAGAGAUGGAGAACUUUUAUGUACAUGUUGAAGCAGCCUAAACUUGCUGGUCUCAGAAUGUCAUCCCACUUAGCUUUGAUAUUCCCUUAAGUGACCUAUUUUAUAUAUGUCCCUCUUCCUUCCACCUUUACAAAAGGGGAGAUGAAGUCAAGUCUUUCUCCUUCAACAGAAGUAAGGAGGAAUUAAUCAAAGUUAUAUGAUGUACUUACCCAAAGUUCUAGUCUUUGGGCUACCCCUCCUUUAAAGCUGAAUUCAGACUCCCAUGUUUUCCUAAGCCUGUAUUUUUUGGCUCACUGAAUGAAGUACAGUAAAUAAUGGCACCUGUAACAGUUGCUUUGUGGCCUAUGGAUUUACUGAGUAGGAACUGGGUUUGAGUCAUUUAGUCCAACUGCAGAAGCCCUACAAUAAACCCUGAGGUGAUAGCAGUUGUGGUUUUCCUGGUGACUUGGAUUAGAUCUGAAUUGUUAGCUAAAGCUGAAAAGGUUUCCCUUGUGCCAUGGCUCUCACAAAAGGCUGUUUCUGCCCAGGCAUCUGUGUGCUGCUGAACUGCACGUGUAUGGGGAUGUAUGUGCUGUAACUGUUGAGCAAUUUUUGUUAAACUGAAAAGGGAAGUGUUGCUCACAUCAUUGGCCACGAGAUUAUCAGCUUUUAUGGUCACAAGUAAUUUAAUGUCCAACCCAGGAUGCUGAGGGCACAUUGCUACAACAUACAGUUUAUUGAGCAAACCAAAAGCAAGCAAGCAAGCAGAAUUUGGCAGUAACUUAAGAGCCUAAUCAUUUAACUCCUUUCUUUCUUCCACUGCAGUGAUGCUAACACAGAUCGUAUCAGCAUGGUUGUUCAAUAGGAAGUAAUAUCAUUCCUGCCUCCAAGCUGGAGAAAUCAGAUAUUUGGAAGCAGAACAGUAUUAAGCAAAUUAUAAACUGUGUUAUCUCAGAAAUGAAUCAGUUAAACCAGCCAAAAUCAGAGCAAAGAUAGGGUUAGAUAAUCUCUCUGUGAUACACAGUAGUGCAACAUGUUGACAACAACUAGGACAGGGGAAAUGAGCAAAAAGGCAAUCUCUCCAGACUACUUAACAUGCCCACCCUGCACUGACAUCUCUGGAAAAGCACAAGCAAAACUCAGCUUAGCUUUUAGUUGUAGCUGUACCAGAGAACUGGAAAAAAAAUCUGAUUCAGAGCUGGAGUCCUGUCUUCCCCUCUUGCAUGAACCAUCCCAUAGCAGCUCUUAUGGAAACAAUCAAGCUUUAUGCUAAAAGCUGUUCCCAGUUCUUGCUGGCACUGAUGUACUGCUUCAGAAUCUAACUCAAAUGAGGGUUUGAAAUUUUUCCUAAUAUCUGGACUAAAGUUACUAACAGUUUUUACCUAAUUACCCUUCAGCAAACAUCACCCUUUUGCUUAGUUUCCCCCACUAUGUUUUGCCCUAUGACUUCAUUUUACCUUUACAAACAAGCCAGCGUCCAUAAGAUUUUCAUUUUCAGGAAAUCUCCUCUUCUGUACCAGAUUGAGUUUGUUAUUUUUUUAUAUGUAUAUUUAAAAAAUUUAACAAAAUUCAGUGCAAUGCUAUGACUUGUUACACAUCUAUAGUAAAAAUAUAUUUUCUAGAACAUGCUAGGAUUAUAUUUUCUGACAGCCACAUCUUAUUCUUAGUUCCUGUUUAUCCUGUGUUCAGCUAAAGCUCCAGCUAUCCUCCUUUGUCACUUUCAACAGAUAAGCUCUUAGAGUGCCUUAUGAAUUCAGAACUAUAUGAUCUUGCACAGCAUACUAUGAAAUUUACCCCCCCCCCCUUUUUUUUUUAACUCCAGGCCUUAACUCCGAGGCAUUCUUGCAUAAUCCUUCCUGUUACUUCUGUAAGUUUAUUACACGCCUAAUUCUCCUGCUACCAUCACUACUGCAAAUAUGAACAUGAUAGGUGUACAGACCCCACUGUGAAGAAUUCUCUUAUAAAAUUUCUUCCAGUCUGACAGCUUUUUCUUCAUUUCCCUUGUCUUAGUUUGAGUUAUUUUACACUUUUCUUCCCACAUAGUGUAACUACUUUACUGAUUUACAGGUAGGCUAAAUCUGCCACAUUUCUCCUGGCUAUGAAAUCAGUUAUCAAAAAUGUAUGGCUCUAAGAAAUAAAUUCACAUUAUAUUUUAUCUAGUUUUGUGAAUAAGGUAAGUUUUCUAUUAUGGAAAUAACACAAAGAGCACGGAUGUGGGAAGUCUCAAGUAAGCAAUUUUAGAAAAGCACAGCAGCUUCCUAAUAACUCUAAGGAGUCUGGGCUUCAGGCAAUCGGUUCAACAAUUUCACUGUUCAAAAGGCAAACUAGGAAACACAAGCAAAAGAUACAAAAGUGCUAAACUUCCUGGAAAAGCCAAAUACAGGAAAAGGCUUAAAGCUAUUUUAAUUUUGUUUCUUAAAGGAGAAGACUUGCGUAUGAAAGUGUUAAAGCCCCAUUAUGAUCGCACCAGGCUCAAAAAAGCUGAGCUUGCUGAAGAUAAGCUCAAAAGUGAGCCAUGAGGCACAUACAUAAUUGAAAUUCCUUUUUUGACACUCUGCAUCCAGCACAAGUUAAUGCUACUGCAGAGCUUGGUUCCUGCUUUGCACUUACCACAAACAAGCAGGGACCCCCUCUGAACAACAGAAAUGGCUCUUCUGAGACCAAGCAGGAACAUGUUUUAGCAUGUUAAGAGUCCAAAAGUAUUGAAAAAAAUGCUCUGGAGAAAUGCUUUUGGAGAAAACAGUGACUGAACUGAUGCAGAGAGGCACUACAGAAGACUUUUCUCAGAACCAGGACAAAUUUGCAGUUUGGCUCACACACGUCCAACCUGUACAUUGCUGAGAAGAGCUGGAGAUCUUUUGAGAGACCGUACACAACACAGCCUACAUACACAAACCAAAUAAAAGUUCAGUGUAAUUACACAACCAAUAGCUCUUCAGGCCACCCAGAACUCAGCAUCAGUCCAGUCCUAUUUUAAGUCAGUCAUCUACAGCUGAUUUUGUUCUAAACUGACAAAUAACAUGCUUGUAUGGGUUGUACCUAUUGGGUUUCUGAUGUCACUGCCUUUCAUUGCUGAACACCCCUCUUCGUGAUCCUUAAAGUCAUUUGGUGAUUCGUUCCCAUCCUCACGUGAGCUUUUGUUUUGUAUCUGCAGGACACUUUUCAAGAACAGUUCUAUGUGACUAUGAUAAAGAGAGAAGUGCACAACCCUGUACUUGCAGCUGGGCUGGGGACCAGAAUGGGACCCAGGGAAAUGCCAGGCACAGCUCAAGGAAGGAGGCAGCCCCUUCCCUGAUGCAUGAGAUGAAGGACCUAUGUUUCAAGAAAUAAGAUCCUACAUAAAGAUACUGCCUGCAGUAUCUUUUUAAAAAUCCUUUGUGAAGACAUUUCAGACUGGAUUUUGUAGUGCCAACCUAAAUAAUACAGUGGUUUCCAUUCACGUGUA